GUGGAACUAGAAGUGGGGGUGGGCGAUCAGGGGACAGGGAGAGAGAGAAAGCUGUGGUGCGCUCCCUCCACCCCUCUGCCUAAGGUCUCUCCAGACUUCUCCAGUAGAGCCCAGAGCUGUGAUAGCCAAGGACCCGGCACAGGAUUUGAGACAUCUGCCUGUUUCCAACCCAGCUACAGGAGAGCUGAGGCUCAGGGUUCCUGGCUGGUCAGAACAGUCCUUCUCGCUCACACUUGCGAAGAACCCCUUACGUGCUCACAGGCGAUCUUACUUCUGUCACGGUUAGAGUGACAGGGGGAAAAGAUGCAAAUUGUACAGUGCAGUUUGGACUCAGGGAGGCGCUUCUGUGCUGUCACAGAUGUCUUGAAUCUGCCUGGAGUCCACCUUUGUAUUUAGUGUUAGGCAGGGAUCCAGUACUUUGGGCUGCAUGGACUCGGCCAGUUUUCUCAAGGAUGUCUACCAAAUAAUGGGCCCUUCGCCCCAUCGAUUCGUGGCGCUUCCUUAUAAGCUUCCCAGCAUCUCUGAGGCAGAAGAACCGAGAAAGACCAACACCUUGAUUGGAGAAGUGAGUACCCUGACAGGUAGGCUUUGCGGGGAAAGGGGAGGGAGGAGCAACCAGGCCUGAGUAGGGGGCCACCACCUGCAGGGUCUGUCUCUGGGCCUAGAGACCUCAGUCCUGUCUCAGUGGCUGUCUUUUGCCCAGCUUCUCCCCAUGUCUGUCAUGCCACACCUUCCACCCCAUCACAUUCCUCCACUGUUGCUGCAAAACGCUCUGAGAAUGCCCAAGAAGAGAACCAUAGUGAAUGAAGAGGCCAUUCCUCUAUUCUUUCUCUCCAUGCACUGCUUGUAGGUGGUCAGGGGGCCAUGGCAUCCCCCUGGUACCCAGAGCAAGACAGGGACUCCAUACCCAGGCAUGGAGUCAAUGAUGUGUUUUCAUCCUGGGGUUUCAUCAUUAGGAUGGUCCCUGGGAAAGGUGGGGGCCAGGGCAGGAGAAGCACUGAGCAUGGGUAUCAGAGGGGAAGGCGGAAGGGAUGGAUCCAAGGAGGGGAGCUCAGCACCAGCUCCAUCACUUCUCAUUCCCUCUAGGUGCUCCACCAACAUUGUUUGGAACAAAACUUGAGUGGGUGAAAGAUGAAAAAUGUGUGUGUAAAACAUGCAGAAGAAAAGACAGCCAACGUUGGAAUGAACUGAGCAACGUGAUAAAUAAAGUGGUAAAGUGUAAAAUAACUAUCCGUGAGUCCAUAUUGAUAUAAAUGAAUGACUGAAUAAAUUUACAGAUAAGUGAA